rnacentral:rRNA from 1 species
UACGUAGGGUGCAAGCGUUGUCCGGAAUUACUGGGCGUAAAGCGUGCGCAGGCGGUUUUGUAAGUCUGUCGUGAAAUCCCCGGGCUUAACCUGGGAAUUGCGAUGGAGACUGCAAGGCUAGAAUCUGGCAGAGGGGGGUAGAAUUCCACGUGUAGCAGUGAAAUGCGUAGAGAUGUGGAGGAACACCGAUGGCGAAGGCAGCCCCCUGGGUCAAGAUUGACGCUCAUGCACGAAAGCGUGGGGAGCAAACAGG